AUUGAACGCUGGCGGCAGGCCUAACACAUGCAAGUCGAGCGGAUGAAGGGAGCCUGCUCCUGGAUUCAGCGGCGGACGGGUGAGUAAUGCCUAGGAAUCUGCCUGGUAGUGGGGGAUAACGUCCGGAAACGGGCGCUAAUACCGCAUACGUCCUGAGGGAGAAAGUGGGGGAUCUUCGGACCUCACGCUAUCAGAUGAGCCUAGGUCGGAUUAGCUAGUUGGUGGGGUAAAGGCCUACCAAGGCGACGAUCCGUAACUGGUCUGAGAGGAUGAUCAGUCACACUGGAACUGAGACACGGUCCAGACUCCUACGGGAGGCAGCAGUGGGGAAUAUUGGACAAUGGGCGAAAGCCUGAUCCAGCCAUGCCGCGUGUGUGAAGAAGGUCUUCGGAUUGUAAAGCACUUUAAGUUGGGAGGAAGGGCAGUAAGUUAAUACCUUGCUGUGUUGACGUUACCAACAGAAUAAGCACCGGCGAACUUCGUG
rnacentral:rRNA from 1 species